GACCCCGCCGCUGUGGUCGGCCGCACAGGUCUGUACUCUGUCGGCUGGGUCUCUCCUUCUGGAGAACCGUCAUGCCAUUCAUUUGGUGUGACGGCGAUCCAGGACUUUUACUUUGAAAAAAUUAGAGUGUUCAAAGCAGGCAUUUGCUCGAAUACAUUAGCAUGGAAUAAUAGAAUAGGA
rnacentral:rRNA from 1 species